AGCUCAAAGUUGGAACCUGGCUGUCUUAGAUAGUCCGGAUUGUAAACUAAAGAGCGUGAAUCCAGGCAAGCCGGUUGAUCAAGUCCUUUGGAAUGAGGCGCCACUGAGGGUGAGAGCCCCGUAAAUCGACUGAGCAUUUGUCUUUUGUGUUUCGCGUUCAAAGAGUCAGGUUGUUUGGGAAUGCAGCCUAAAGCUGGUGGUAAAUCCCACCUAAAGCUAAAUACAGGCGAGAGACCGAUAGCGAACAAGUACCGUGAGGGAAAGAUGAAAAGUACUUUGAAAAGAGAGUUAAACAGUAUGUGAAAUUGCCAAGAGGGAAGCAUUUGGAGUUAGACUGACUUGGAGUUAAUCAGCUUGGUCUUUGGACUGGGUGUACUUGACUUCUAUGUCUGCCAAUAGCAGUUAGUCCUGGUGGAAAAAACUGAAGGGAAGGUAGUCCUUCGGGAUGUUUAUAGACCUUUGGAAAAUACACUGGGAUUGACUGAGGAAUGCAGUAGAUGCUAUUAAGGCUUCGUCUAGUAGGUGUUAGGUGAAGGUACUUGGUAUUUUCAGCUUGCUGAUGUGCUAGGUUACUUGAGCUUAAUUGC
rnacentral:rRNA from 1 species